GGAUGUGAGGGCGACCUGGCUGCGACAUCUGUCACCCCAUUGAUCACCAGUGUUGAUUCAGCUGAUCUGGCUGGCUAGGUGGGUGUCCCCUUCCUCCCUCACCGCUUCAUGUGCGUCCUCCCGAAGAUGCAUGCUUGGUCGAAGAGUAUGGCCUUCCCCGAACAGAGUUGGACCGGUCUUCGUUCGAGGGUAUAAGAGUAGCUGUUCUCCCCUGCUAGAACUUUCAAUCAAGGUCUCCAGGUCCAAGUCAGGAAGGCAGACAGAUUGUUAUUCUGGGAGUUGGCAAUCUAAUAAUCUGUGAUGUCUAUGUCUAUCUGGGUCUAUAUCUAUCGAUCUAUCAUUUAUU
rfam:Erinaceus europaeus unplaced genomic scaffold scaffold00083, whole genome shotgun sequence